rnacentral:tRNA from 1 species
AAUGAGGUGCCUGAGUAAAGGGCUACCUUGAUAGGGUAGAUCAAGUGGGCCACCCCCACUCUCAUU